UACAGAGGUGGCAAGCGUUGUUCGGAAUUACUGGGCGUAAAGGGCGCGUAGGCGGCCCACUAAGUCAGACGUGAAAUCCCCCGGCUUAACCUGGGAACUGCGUCUGAUACUGGAGGGCUUGAGUAUGGGAGAGGGAUGUAGAAUUCCUGGUGUAGCGGUGGAAUGCGCAGAUAUCGGGAGGAACACCAGUAGCGAAGGCGGCACUCUGGGCCGGUACUGACGCUGAGGAGCGAAAGCGUGGGGAGCGAACAGG
rnacentral:rRNA from 1 species